AAAAGAAAUUAGGGAUCAUAUCUCGAUUUGUUUCAAGCUUUUCAGAAUGAGUCUACGGAUUAUAUAUGGUGGCAGGUAAAUGGGUCUAGACUUUGUUUAUAGCAUGAUUUUGAUGUUUUGGCAGGGAUUUGGGUAUUUGUUUCUGGUGGCUGCAGAAUAUUUGGUUCAGGGCGAUGGGCUACGGACAUCUUUUUGUAGAAGUACUUCUUUUUGCAGUCAUUGUUUUUCUAUUCUCCCAGAAAAGUUACAAGCCCCCUAAGAAGCCUUUAACAGAGAAGUGCUGCAGGGCCACAUACAAUAGUCAAUGGCAAAGAAGUAGUGAACUUUGCUUCAGCAAAUUAUCUUGGAUUGAUAGGACAUGAGAAGUUGCUUGUAAGAGAUAACUUUUCAUAU